rnacentral:rRNA from 1 species
GAUUCUAGCUCAGGACGAACGCUGGCGGCGCGCCUAACACAUGCAAGUCGAACGAGCGAGAGAGAGUUUACUUUUCCGAGCGAGUGGCGAACGGGUGAGUAACGCGUGAGGAACCUGCCUCAAAGAGGGGGACAACAGUUGGAAACGACUGCUAAUACCGCAUAAGCCCACGGCUCGGCAUCGAGCAGAGGGAAAAGGAGCAAUCCGCUUUGAGAUGGCCUCGCGUCCAUUAGCUAGUUGGUG